CAGGCCUAACACAUGCAAGUCGAGCGGUAGAGAGAAGCUUGCUUCUCUUGAGAGCGGCGGACGGGUGAGUAAUGCCUAGGAAUCUGCCUGGUAGUGGGGGAUAACGUUCGGAAACGGACGCUAAUACCGCAUACGUCCUACGGGAGAAAGCAGGGGACCUUCGGGCCUUGCGCUAUCAGAUGAGCCUAGGUCGGAUUAGCUAGUUGGUGAGGUAAUGGGCUCACCAAGGCGACGAUCCGUAACUGGUCUGAGAGGAUGAUCAGUCACACUGGAACUGAGACACGGUCCAGACUCCUACGGGAGGCAGCAGUGGGGAAUAUUGGGACAAUGGGCGAAAGCCUGAUCCCAGCCCAUGCCGCGUGUGUGAAGAAGGUCUUCGGAUUGUAAAGCACUUUAAGUUGGGAGGAAGAGCAGUUACCUAAUACGUGAUUGUUUUGACGUUACCGACAGAAUAAGCACCGGCUAACUCUGUGCCCAGCAGCCGCGGGUAAAUA
rnacentral:rRNA from 1 species